GUGCAUGAUAACAACAUGACUGAGCGCACUUAGUCCAGGAGGGAAGAUCCGGUGACUACAUUGGAGUAAAAUAUAACUCAGGCUAAUCCUUUCCCAGGACACUUAGCUCACUGGAACGUGACUUCAGACACUUACUCUUUUGGCAAGGGAGCAAAUAUGGAACUGAUCACAUUUACUCUGAUUCCAGUUCAGCUGGAUCCGCUUAGGCCACAUUUCUACCAUCUAGUUUCGCUUGCAGGCCGAACAGUUCUCUCAUCUGACAAGAGUACCUUCAACAUGCUUAAAGGCUGUACUCUUCCUCACUGUAGAUUUGUGGAGUUCACAACUCUCAGCUGGGACACAGUCACCUCUGAGUCAUGACCCUCUACAGCUCCUCAUUGUGUUUACCUGGGUCAGGACAGAGAAGAAGUAAAGCCAUAUGAGACAGAUGAUUGGUGCUGCCAAAGCUUGAUCAACAGCUCCAAGGUGGACACUGCGGUCGAGGCGAGUAGGAAGCAGAGCGAGCAAGCAUCAAACGUAUGGUGUAAAGCAGUAACCCUGGCAACCGCAAUAACUCCAUCCCAGAGCCCACCAGGCCGGCC